UCGGGAAUUUUGGGCAAUGGGCGCAAGCCUGAUCCAGCCAUGCCGCGUGCAGGAUGACGGUCCUAUGGAUUGUAAACUGCUUUUGUACAGGAAGAAACAGUUCUACGUGUAGAACCUUGACGGUACUGUAAGAAUAAGGAUCGGCUAACUCCGUGCCAGCAGCCGCGGUAAUACGGAGGAUCCAAGCGUUAUCCGGAAUCAUUGGGUUUAAAGGGUCCGUAGGCGGUUAGAUAAGUCAGUGGUGAAAGCCCAUCGCUCAACGGUGGAACGGCCAUUGAUACUGUCUGACUUGAAUUAUUAGGAAGUAACUAGAAUAUGUAGUGUAGCGGUGAAAUGCUUAGAGAUUACAUGGAAUACCAAUUGCGAAGGCAGGUUACUACUAAUGGAUUGACGCUGAUGGACGAAAGCGUGGGUAGCGAACAGGAUUAGAUACCCAGGUAGUCCCUGAGCGGGCUGGCAAGGCG
rnacentral:rRNA from 1 species